CUGGUGUCUGAGCCAGAGUGUCAUCGAAUUGCGAUGUAAUGUAAACAGAAAUUAUAGCAAGUUGAUGUCAGUCAGGUUAGAUGGUCCAAGCCAAAAUUAUAUCGCAUUUGAGAUUUCAAACUGAGUUAAAAAUAGUGGAAGAAAAGCCGUAAUUAUACUUAUUGUCACAAUCCAUUUAAUAAAAUGCAACAUUUUUUUGUUUUAAUGAAAAAAUCAGUUAUUUUCAUGAGAACGAUUUGUUAUUGCAUCUCAAUUUUUUUAAUCUCCAAUCGCAAUAACGUAAAGUAUUAUUACCCGCGAACCAAUGAGUCAAAUUUAAGAAACCACCCACUGUUAGAAAGCUGAGUGGCUACGCUUUAAAAUGAAUGUAAACUUUAACGUUUUCGUCUAUUAUUUGUUUAGCAAUUUACAUUUCAAUCGAGGAUUGCGCUUUUUUUGAUACACCCUGUAUAAUUAACAUGGGUUUUUGUUUGGUGGCCCAACCGUGGACAUACAAAAAAAAUUGGCGGCCCAUCGAAAUUGCCCAAAGAUUUUCCAUGGCCCAUCCCAAAUCACUCCGGUUACUUUAUGACCGGUCCCGUAUCCGUCGCUUUCUCGUCCUCACUUGUUCUCUGCGCUCAUUUUCACCAUAUCUCCAUUUUCACCAUAUCUCCAGUCUACAGGUACUUUUUCGUAUUUUCUGUUUCACUGCCUUCAAUUCCUUCCUUAUAUACCGUCGUACAAAUCUAG